CUUCGGGUAAUGAGGAUGGCGGACGGGUGAGUAACGCGUAAGGAACUUGCCUCUUGGACUGGGACAACUGUUGGAAACGACAGCUAAUACCGGAUAUUAUGAGAUUCUCGCAUGAGAAACUUAUGAAAGCUAUAUGCGCCAAGAGAGAGCCUUGCGUUCCAUUAGCUAGUUGGUGGGGUAACGGCCCACCAAGGCGACGAUGGAUAGCCGGCCUGAGAGGGUGAACGGCCACAAGGGGACUGAGACACGGCCCUUACUCCUACGGGAGGCAGCAGUGGGGAAUAUUGGACAAUGGACCAAAAGUCUGAUCCAGCAAUUCUGUGUGCACGAUGAAGGUCUUCGGAUUGUAAAGUGCUUUCAGUUGGGAAGAAGAAAGUGACGGUACCAACAGAAGAAGCGACGGCUAAAUACGUGCCAGCAGCCGCGGUAAUACGUAUGUCGCAAGCGUUAUCCGGAUUUAUUGGGCGUAAAGCGCGUCUAGGCGGAAAAAUAAGUCUGAUGUUAAAAUGCGGGGCUCAACUCCGUAUUGCGUUGGAACUGUUUUUCUAGAGUACUGGAGAGGUGGGCGGAACUACAAGUGUAGAGGUGAAAUUCGUAGAUAUUUGUAGGAAUGCCGAUGGAGA
rnacentral:rRNA from 1 species